GCUGGGUAUGGUGGUGCAUGCCUGUAAUCCCAGUGGCUCAGGAGGCUAAGGCAGGAAGAUCAUGAAUUCAAAAUCAGCCUCAGCAACUUAGUGAGGCCCUAAGCAACUUAGCAAGACCCUGUCUCUA
rnacentral:sRNA from 1 species